rnacentral:rRNA from 1 species
AUUGAACGCUGGCGGCAGGCCUAACACAUGCAAGUCGAACGGUAACAGGAAGCAGCUUGCUGCUUUGCUGACGAGUGGCGGACGGGUGAGUAAUGUCUGGGAAACUGCCCGAUGGAGGGGGAUAACUACUGGAAACGGUAGCUAAUACCGCAUAACGUCGCAAGACCAAAGAGGGGGACCUUAGGGCCUCUUGCCAUCGGAUGUGCCCAGAUGGGAUUAGCUAGUAGGUGGGGUAACGGCUCACCUAGGCGACGAUCCCUAGCUGGUCUGAGAGGAUGACCAGCCACACUGGAACUGAGACACGGUCCAGACUCCUACGGGAGGCAGCAGUGGGGAAUAUUGCACAAUGGGCGCAAUCCUGAUGCAGCCAUGCCGCGUGUAUGAAGAAGGCCUUCGGGUUGUAAAGUACUUUCAGCGGGGAGGAAGGGAGUAAAGUUAAUACCUUUGCUCAUUGACGUUACCCGCAGAAGAAGCACCGGCUAACUCCGUG